AUAAUCCGCGAGUAGAUGGUGUUUAUCCUUUUUUAUAGCAAUUUCAUUGGUUAGUGACAAAACUUAUUGGACAAAAUGUAUAUGUGUGCAUUUGACCAAUAAUAAAAGUUGUAAUAUAACAUAUGUACAUAUUAGAGGUAAUCUUAAUUCAUCGUGUAAAUAAUUGUAAUAUGACUUACAAAUGCUUCGAAAGUUUUGUUUAUCAAGACAACUUAUCUAAGUCCGCAUAAAUUGUUCAUAAAAAAUCGAUCCUUAUUUUUAAUAUGACACUUAUUUUUUAUUUGUUAUUAAAUUUGUUACAUUUUAUAAACAAUUUGUAUUGUUUCAUCAAACAAUAUUGCGUUAAAAUAUGUUUGCUUAUGAAGCAUCACGUUUAUGCAAAUAAAGGAUUUGAAAAUUACUGGUUGGAAAAUUCAAGUGAUAAUUUAGUCUCAAAACUUCCAAAUCAUAUUGCAAUUAUUAUUGGAUUGGAAGAAAUAUCCAUUAUUGACAUAACAAAAUUGAUCGACUGGUGUAUGACAAUUGAAAUAUCUUACAUCAGCUUCUAUGAUCACAAAGGUCUCUUGCAAAAAAAUUAUCCUCUUAUAGAAAAAAAUCUCAAACAGCAAACACCUUCAAAUUUACAUAAUACAGAAUGUGUAAAAGAAUUUAGUAAAAUGGACAAUGGUACAAAACUAAUCAAAAUGUUAGGCUACAAUUAUAAAUGCAAUAUUGAUUCUGAUUCAUUAAAUAAAGCCAAAAACAAAAGUAUUAAAAUACAAUUUUUGUCAUAUCUCGAUGGUAAAAAUAAAAUUGUUUCUUUAACCAAACAAUUAUCAACUUUUCUUGAAUGGAAUGAUAACAAUGAAAAAGAUAUAACAUCUAAAUUGAUUAGUGAAAAUUUGAAUUGGAAUGUUCAAAUCCCAGAGCCAGACCUGGCCAUAGUGUUUGGUAAAACACUGUGUUCAUAUGGAUUUUUACCAUGGCACACAAGGAUAACUGAGUUUUUUGUUGUGCCAACUCACUGUGGUCUCACAUAUGAUGACUUUACAAGGAUACUAAUAAAGUACAAUAUAUGUCAACAACAUUACGGAAAGUAACGAAACUGGUUAUCUAAUUUUAUAAGUUGCAAGAUAUAUUUAGAUUCAUAUAUGUAUAAAAAUAAAAUAAUACUUUUAUUCCACACUGUACUAUCUACUUGAUUUUGAUACUAGUAUGAUAUUUAUGUUAUACAAAUUAAAUUAAAAUGAUUGAAUAAGUAUGAAAUUACAAAUGUUCUAUGUAAAUUUUUGAAGGAAAUAGGUAAUACGAUUUCUUGUGAUUAUUUCAAUUGGAUAAUA